ensembl:lncRNA novel transcript, antisense to PAFAH1B1
AGAUGAACACACUGGACUUAUAUACAGCUGGACAUGAAAGUAACCAAUUUAAGUGCCUUUUCCUUCAACAAUUUUAACUUCAGUUGCUUAAGGAUGAUCGAGCCACCGAUGUCAACAAAAUAUCCUUUACCUUUAAAUAGUUUUUCUUUAAUUAAGUUUAAAGAAAACCUAUUUAACGAGUGAUAUUACCGGGAAAGUUCACACAGAAACAGAAAGAGGCAAUAUUGUCCUGAAAAUUCACCUACUGUAUGUAUUUAAGGAAUUAGCUUAAGAUGUAAUUUUUGUCCUCAAAAAUAGCCAUUAGUUCUCAAAACUUUCCCUUCCAGAGACAUCUCUCAGGAAUCUAAAAACAAACAAGCAAACAAACAAAAAGACACAAGCUAGACAUAAAGCUGCUUCUAGUUAAUAUACGGCCUAGUCUCUGUGUGUAUCUACAGGACGCUAACUCUCACCCUUUGUCUUUUGCAGGAACCAAUUUUCCAUUAAAUACUAAAGGGGACAUUUAAAAAAUCACAUAGUACACAAAUGAAUAAAACGCAGUUCAGAAUUUUAUCUUUGUUAAACUGUCACUGUUAUCUCAUUGUUCUGUUAACUUUUCAAAUAACUCUCUUGGAAACAAAAAAAAC